GUCGGGUAAGUCUUGCACGACCAGCUCCCUCUGAAUUCCCCCAGGGUCGGAAGGCAGCAAGGGUAGGAGGUCGUAGCGGUGCGAUGCAAACCGCUUACCCG
rnacentral:SRP_RNA from 1 species